rnacentral:tRNA from 1 species
GUGGGUAUAGCUCAGUGGUAGAGCAUAUGCUUAACAUGCACAAGGUCUUGGGUUCAACCCCCAGUACCUCCA